rnacentral:rRNA from 1 species
UAUCUCUGUAGAGUCUGCAUAUCAAUAAGCGGAGGAAAAGAAACUAACAAGGAUUCCCCUAGUAACGGCGAGUGAAGCGGGAAGAGCUCAAAUUUGAAAUCUUCAAGGUUUGACCUUGACGAAUUGUAGUUUAAAGAAGUGUUUUCGGUUAGAGGAGUAGUAAAAGUUCUUUGGAAUAGGACAUCAUAGAGGGUGAGAAUCCCGUAUUUGACUAUUCUUUCUAGCUUUGUGAUACACUUUCAAAGAGUCGGAUUGUUUGGGAAUGCAGUCCAAAAUGGGUGGUAAAUUUCAUCUAAAGCUAAAUAUUGGCGAGAGACCGAUAGCGAACAAGUACCGUGAGGGAAAGAUGAAAAGAACUUUGUAAAAGAGAGUUAAACAGUACGUGAAAUUGUCAAAAGGGAAGCGUUUGACACCAGUGUUGUUUUUCCGAAAAUCAAUUAAAAAUUGAUUCAUGCCAGGUUGUAUUGACCUUAUCAGCUUGCAAUUUGGUUUUGGGUCUCUUUUUGAUGCACUUUUCGGUUAACAAGUCAACAUCAAUUUCCUUUGCUGUAAAAAGGUAAGAGGAAGGUGGCUUCAAUUUCGGUUGAAGUGUUUAUAGCCUUUUAUCUCUGCAGUCGGGGAGAUUGAGGUCUGCAGCGUAGAUCCUUCGGGGCUAGAUACAUUUAUGCUAAGUUAUAGCUUUUCAUAGACAACUUGUUGACUAUGUUUAGUCAUGUAGCUUACUCGUAAGUGCUAUUUUACCUACGCUUAGGAUGUUGAGCGCAUGUCUCUCUCU